rnacentral:rRNA from 1 species
UCAGACGAUGCGUCAUGCAUAUCAAUAAGCGGAGGAAAAGAAACUAACAAGGAUUCCCCUAGUAACGGCGAGUGAAGCGGGAAGAGCUCAAAUUUGAAAUCUUAAAGGGUUUCCCUUUACGAAUUGUAGUUUAAAGAAGUGUUUUCUGUUGAGGUUUUGGUAAAAGUUCUUUGGAAUAGGACAUCAUAGAGGGUGAGAAUCCCGUAUUUGACCUUUACUUUCAACUUUGUGAUACACUUUCAAAGAGUCGGAUUGUUUGGGAAUGCAGUCCAAAAUGGGUGGUAAAUUUCAUCUAAAGCUAAAUAUUGGCGAGAGACCGAUAGCGAACAAGUACCGUGAGGGAAAGAUGAAAAGAACUUUGAAAAGAGAGUUAAACAGUACGUGAAAUUGUCAAAAGGGAAGCGUUUGACACCAGUGUUGUUUUUCUGAAAAUCAAUUAGAGAACUGUUUAUGCUAAGCUGUUUAGACUUUAUCAGCUAUCUGUUUAGUUUUGAGCUUUUCUUUAAUGCACUUUUCAGUUAACAAGUCAACAUCAAAUUCUUUUGCUGUAAAAAAGCUUGAGGAAGGUGGCUUGAGAUUCGUCUUAAGUGUUUAUAGCCUCUUGCCUAUGCAGUCGGAGAGAUUGAGGUCUGCAGCGUAGAUCCUUCGGGGCUAAAUGCAUUUGUGCUAAGUUAUAGCAUUUUAUAGACAACUUGUUGACUAUGAUUUGUCUUGUAGCUUACUCGCUUAUGUUAUUUUACCUACGCUUAGGAUGUUGACACACGCGCGUGCUCG